CCUACGGGUGGCAGCAGUGAGGAAUAUUGGUCAAUGGGCGCGAGCCUGAACCAGCCAAGCAGCGUGAAGGAUGACUGCCCUACGGGUUGUAAACUUCUUUUAUAAAGGAAUAAAGUGAGGCACAUGUGCCUUAUUGUACGUACUUUAUGAAUAAGGAUCGGCUAACUCCGUGCCAGCAGCCGCGGUAAUACGGAGGAUCCGAGCGUUAUCAGGAUGUAUUGGGUGUAAAGGGGGCGCAGAUGGGUUUGUAAGUCAGUUGUGAAAGUUUGCGGCUCAACCGUAAAAUUGCAAUUGAUACUGGCUGCCUGGAGUACAGAUGAGGUAGGCGGAAUUCGUGGUGUAGCGGUGAAAUGCUUAGAUAUCACGAAGAACUCCGAUUGCGAAGGCAGCUUACUAAACUGCCACUGACAUUGAUGCUCGAAGGUGUGGGUAUCAAACAGGAUUAGAUACCCUUGUAGUC
rnacentral:rRNA from 1 species